CAUGAAGCCGGAAUUGCUAGUAAUGGCAGGUCAGCAUACUGCCGUGAAUACGUUCCCGGGCCUUGUACACACCGCCCGUCACACCAUGGAAGUUGGGGGCGCCCGAAGUUGCCUAAGAAAUAAGGUACCUAAGGCGAAACCAAUGACUGGGGUGAAGUCGUAACAAGGUAUC
rnacentral:rRNA from 1 species